rnacentral:misc_RNA from 1 species
GAAAUGCGAUAAGUAAUGUGAAUUGCAGAAUUCCGUGAAUCAUCGAAUCUUUGAACGCACAUUGCGCCCUCUGGUAUUCCGGGGGGCAUGCCUGUCCGAGCGUCAUAGCGAACCCCUCAAGCACGGCUUGUGUGAUGGGCCCUCCCGCGUCUUGGUCGUCAAGACGGGCCCGAAAUGCAGUGGCGGCUUCGCGGUUAUCCGAUCAGCCAGAGCGUAUGGGGACUUUCUCUCUGUCACACGCCCGCGGCGCGGACCGACGCCUGUCGACCUUUAUUCAUCUUUUUCUCGGUUGACCUCGGAUCAGGUAGGGAUACCCGCUGAACUUAAGC